rnacentral:rRNA from 1 species
UACGAAGGGGGCUAGCGUUGCUCGGAAUCACUGGGCGUAAAGGGUGCGUAGGCGGGUCUUUAAGUCAGGGGUGAAAUCCUGGAGCUCAACUCCAGAACUGCCUUUGAUACUGAGGAUCUUGAGUACGGGAGAGGUGAGUGGAACUGCGAGUGUAGAGGUGAAAUUCGUAGAUAUUCGCAAGAACACCAGUGGCGAAGGCGGCUCACUGGCCCGUAACUGACGCUGAGGAGCGAAAGCGUGGGGAGCAAACAGG